GUGGGGAAUCUUCCGCAAUGGACGAAAGUCUGACGGAGCAACGCCGCGUGAGUGAAGAAGGUUUUCGGAUCGUAAAGCUCUUUCGUUAGGGACGAACGUGCUCUUUGUGAAUAAUGAGGAGUAAUGACGGUACCUAAAUAAGAAGCCACGGCUAACUACGUGCCAGCAGCCGCGGUAAUACGUAGGUGGCAAGCGUUGUCCGGAAUUAUUGUGCGUAAAGCGCGCGCAGGCGGGAUAUCAAGUCUGUCUUAAAAGUGCGAGGCUCAACCUCGUGAGGGGACAGAAACUGGUAUUCUUGAGUGUCGGAGAGGAAAGUGGAAUUCCAAGUGUAGCGGUGAAAUGCGUAGAGAUUUGGAAGAACACCAGUGGCGAAGGCGACUUUCUGGACGAUGUCUGACGCUGAGGCGCGAAAGCUAGGGGAGCGAACGGGAUUAGAAACCCCUGUAGUCC
rnacentral:rRNA from 1 species